CCCGCUGAACUUAAGCAUAUCAAUAAGCGGAGGAAAAGAAACUAACAAGGGUUCCCUUAGUAACUGCGAGUGAAGUGGGAAAAGCUCAAAUUUAGAAUCUGGCAGUCACUUGGCUGUCCGAGUUGUAAUCUAGAGAAGUGUUGCCCGUGCUGGACCAUGUACAAGUCUCCUGGAAUGGAGCAUCACAGAGGGUGAGAAUCCUGUCUUUGACAUGGACUGCCAGUGCUUUUGUGGUAUGCUCUCAAAGAGUCGAGUUGUUUGGGAAUGCAGCUCAAAAUGGGUGGUAAAUGCCAUCUAAAGCUAAAUAUUGGCGAGAGACCGAUAGCGAACAAGUACCGUGAGGGAAAGAUGAAAAGAACUUUGGAAAGAGAGUUAAACAGUACGUGAAAUUGCUGAAAGGGAAACGCUUGAAGUCAGUCACGUUGACUCGGAAUCAGCUCUGCUUUUGCUGGGUGUACUUUCUUGUCAAUGGGUCAGCAUCAAUUUUUACCAUUGGAUAAAGUUGCUGGGAAUGUAGCAUCCUUUUGGAUGUGUUAUAGCCUGGUGAUGCAUACAGUGGUUGGGAUUGAGGAAUUCAGCACGCCACCAGGCCGGGUUUUGACCACGUUCGUGCUUAGGAUGCUGACAUAAUGGCUUUAAUUGACCCGUCUUGAAACACGG
rnacentral:rRNA from 1 species